UAAACAACAGUCUAAAAUUCCCCGUCCAGGCUUAGGGUCUACAGUGAACAGAAAAUCCCAAUUUUCUUUCACAUACAGAAAAACUCAAAUUCCUUUCUCCUUCUCUGAGUAAUCGAAAAUGGGAGGUCACGGAGGUCUGAAUAUUCUCCCUCAGAAACGCUGGAACGUUUACAAUUACGAGAACAGAGAGAAGGUUCGUCGCGACGAGGAGCAAGCCGCCAAAGAGGAACAGCUCAAGCGCGAGCAGGCUCGGAAGCGCGACGCCGAGUUCCGUCUCGAGCGUCUCCGCACCGCUCGAGGUUUGGCACCGAAGCUUCUCCCUCCUGGACCAGAAUCCGAACCCGAACCCAAACCCAAACCCGAACUUGAGCCCGAGCCUUCUUCCGACGCUGGCCACAUCAACCUUUUUGAAGGAAUCAAGAUUUUCGACCCAAUUCAGGAGCCUCGGAAAGAGGAUCCACCGGCAAAGAAGAAGAAAAAGGAGGAGGGAGGACCCAAACCCGCCGUUGUUGUGGGUCCGGAGGAUGAGAAGUAUAGGCUUGGUUACGGGCUUGCCGGGAAGGGGGUUCAGUUACCGUGGUAUCUUCGGAAACCUAAUGAUGACGUAGUGAAGGAUGAAAGCGGUGACGGCGAUAGGAGGGAGAAUAAGGGUGAGAAGAAGAGGAAGACGAUGGAGGAGUUGAGGGAAGAGAGAAUGAAAAGGGAGAGAAGAGAGAAGGACCGGGAGAGGGCUUUGAGACACGAGAAGAUGCAGAGUCACAGAGAUGUUUCUGGCAGUAGGAGGAGGGUCUCUAGAUGAACAUAACAUCGUAAUUGCGGCUUUAUCUUGUUUCAGCACUGGACAAUGUUAUCUCAAUUGCUUGGUCUUGGAAAAGGAAGUUUUAGACUAAGAAUGAUGCCUUUAGAUGCUUUAGGUGAAAUACUUCAGAUGGAUGGACAAGAUGACACUUUGGCCUCUGAAAUAACAAAACAGAUGCUACCACCUCGCUUUGAAGAGCGUAACAUUUGAUCUCGAUGUAUGAGAUCACUUCAAUGAAUUGUCAGAGUCUAACAUUAAGAAGCAAGUUAAAUGUAGUCGUCGUGGCAGUUGGAUUAAAUUUGUGAGUGGAACAAUUGCUGUGGUGACUCAUUUGUGCAGAUGCAAGGGUAUCCAGACAAUGACGUGAACCCGAAUCAAAAGUCAGAUUCAUCUACCUCUAAUAAUUUCUUUGCCCAAAAUUGACUACUUAUGUCAAAACGAACUGAUCAAAAUGUUUGUGGCAAUGGAACUUUCCUUUUGAAUUGUCGAUCUUGAACCUUUUGUGGCAUCUUUUAGCAUUGUAGCACCCUUUCUUAUUGUCAUCUCACAUACUACCUCGGCACGUGAUGUUUUUAAACUUUAGAAUUGUGAAAAAGGCAGUUGAGGAACUUCUUUAUUGUCACUCUCAUAGAGUUCGCCUCGCCACUUAGACUUGGACUUCAUCUCAAAAAGGAGGUAGUGAUGAUCCUCAUUUCUGUAACCAAAUUUUUCAAUCAACUAGGUCUAAUAAAUCUGAAUUAAGUAAAUACUUGGAUGAAGCCUUAGAAGAGAUUCAAGGAAAUUUGGAUAUUUUGAAUUGGUGGGAACUAAGUUCGAGUAGAUUUCUAGUUCUUGCAAACAUGGCAAGAGAUGACUCUACAGUGACAUCUAAAUCUUCCUUCAGCCCUGGAAGAAUAUCUUUUGAACCACAUUGCAGUACUCUUGCACCACAUAUGGUAGAAACACUUGUUUGCACGCAAGAUUGGCUUAAAGGGACACACCCUCACUAUUUUCCUCAAAUGAAAAAGAAGAUAUUAAGGAGCUCGAGAGAUUUGAAAAAGACCAGGGUUGUUUUGUAAGCUAUAAAUGCUAAUCAGAUACAGAAUUUUCCUGCAAUGCACCUUGGCAGCACCCUUCAGAAUUCUACAACAACGAGGCUUUGGCACUGAAAAUCAUACCCCCAUCAAACCAAGCAGAAGAGAACAACAGGUUUAGUUUCAAAAUCUUAGUGCGGGGACAACUUUAAAACCAGAAGCUCGUGAAGAAAGGAAAACGAAGAUGUUGACUUCAUAAAAAGAAGAGAUUUUGAUAACCAAAUGGCCAUUAACAACACAGAGUCAGAGGUUUGCAUGAAGGCUACUACAAAUGAUAAUCGCUCCCUUUUACACAUGGAGAACUUGACCCUCCCUCCGCCUUGUAGAUAGAAAAAAACGAUGAUGAGAAGAGAGAAAUCAUGGACUUGAUCACAUACUUCACACCAACGUCAUGGUGAUUAACAAAGUUGUUUAUUCUGAAUGCUUGUUAGUCAAAGAAAAUGGUUUGAAGUCUUCCGAUUAAGCUACUGUAAUAUCAUAAAAUAGAUGAUUGUAGAGAUGCCAAGUUCAAAGCUGUAUUUUGUAAUGGUUGAUGAACAGUUUCAGGUUGUAGUGAUAGCAGCAAAUAUGGGGUGCAAUGGGUGCAGGGGGAGAGUUUUCAGAGUUGUAUCAAGAAUGACUGGGUUGACAGAGUACACUGUGGAUCUGCAGAAGGGAGAAGUAACCAUAAAGGGAGAUUUCAUAGCAAAUUGCAAUUUGCAGAACGAAAGCAUUAGAAGCAGAAGCCUUGAGAGUGCGAAUGAUGAACCCAAGUCUCUGUCUACUUGUUUAGCUCACUCUCACUAACAUUAAUCUAACAAAAUCAUAGCUACAAAUGAUUAAAUCAUAAGGCUCACUCAUAAUGAAUCAGAAGAUGCUGCCAAAGAAUUCAAAUCUAUGCUACUUCAUGUUGGUAUGAAUUAAUUCGUUUAUUUUAUUCACUGUGUAGAAAGAAAAUGCUUCAACUUAUUUUCUCUUACAUGAUAAUGUGCUCUCAUAAACACAACCGAUAGAAAAUUUAAAAUAACUUCAACAAGGAUUUUGUAGUCUCUUACAAUUGGCAGUGUCUAAUAAGCACUGAUCUUGCUGCUUUUCCUAUGGAAAAUUUCUUAGAUGUGUUAAAAAAAAAAAAAAUAAGAGGACUAAUAUUAGCUGACUUUUCUGAGAUUGGAAAGUAAAAAGUAA